GUCACUGUACGGUGGCCGUGAGGUGACCUCACGGUUUUUACUCUGGUGUGCCUAGAAAAUCGUACGGCAGCCACAACAACCAUGAGACCCCCUUACUGUCACUUCACGGUGGUCUUACGGCCUCCAUGAGAUGGCCGUACGAUGUUCUAAAUAUCGUACGGCGGCCGUGCAGUGACUUUAGGGCGCCUUGCGGUCGCCGUGAGGGCGCCGCGCGGUUUGUUAACUAGCGUCUUGCGGCCUUCUCACGCAUUUUGAUUUCAUGACUUUUACGAUUGCCGUGCGGACCCCGUGACAUUGUGAACACUGCUUCCGUAGCCCGCAAAGCCGUACGAUUUGUAUAAAUCCCAUCUACAAACCGCAGACCGCAGAACCGUGCGGCGGCAGCAGCAUAUGUGACCUAGGCAUUAAUGCAGCUAGCAGUCCAGAAAAUCGCAGCUAGUCAUUUAGCGUACAUUUCCGUUCAUACACUGUGACAUAUACACAAACAUAUUCACAUUGACUGUUAAUGCAGCUAGCAGUCCAGAAAACCGCAGCUAGUCAUUUAGUGUACACUUCCGUUCAUACACUGUGAUAUAUACACAAACAUAUUCAUACUGACUGCAAAUAUUAAAGGCCCAGGCUUAUGACACAUUAUUAAUACAAAGUAUAUAUAAAAAACCCACCUAUAAACAUUACAAUAUUAAAAAAAUAAUAAAAAAAUAAAAAAAUACCAUCCCAAUUAUUAAUAAAGUGUCUUUUUGUAAAACGUUUGGGGAAACACCCACUGUUCAGUCGAUUUGACUCACAACAGACCUGUGACGUAGCAUGCGGCAGAUUUCACUCAUUCUGUUAGUAGAGCAACAUGCCGACAGCAGAGAAUGAUUUUUCGAAAAACAGCUGAUUCUUAACGGCCGCUAGUUUGGACAUUUUGGUUUUAUCACAUGUGUCAAUCUACUCUAAUGGUACCUCGAUGGGUGACGAAGAAGGAUACAAUCCGUUAGGGGUACUUCCCUAUCAGUGUGAGCCGGAAUACAACCACGAUGAUCCGGCGAGCCAAAUGACUAUGUAUUCAAGUAGUAAACGAAAAAGACCCAGAUGGCGAAACACUACUCACCGAUCUUGAAAGUUGGUGCCAAUGUGGAAAAUUGUAUAGCUAUGGCUUGUUCGAUGUCUGGUCUCUUAAAGGUGGAACAUAGAAAGCUGGGAGUGUUGAUUUGAUAUCACCCCAUAACACAGCAUGGUCAUCAGUUUGUCGGUUUACCCUGAAAUAACAAGUAAUGUAACGUACAGGAUUAAUAAAAAUAGUCUAUAGAUACA